rnacentral:rRNA from 1 species
UACGUAGGGUGCAAGCGUUGUCCGGAAUUAUUGGGCGUAAAGAGCUCGUAGGCGGCUCGUCACGUCGGCUGUGAAAACCCGGGGCUCAACCCCGGGCCUGCAGUCGAUACGGGCGAGCUAGAGUUCGGCAGGGGAGACUGGAAUUCCUGGUGUAGCGGUGAAAUGCGCAGAUAUCAGGAGGAACACCGGUGGCGAAGGCGGGUCUCUGGGCAACAACUGACGCUGAGGAGCGAAAGCGUGGGGAGCGAACAGG